rnacentral:sRNA from 1 species
CUAUCUGAGUCCAGGAUGAAGUCACUGAUAGCGGUGCUUUGAACCUGAUUUUAUGAGCCAAAACGGCCAUAAAUAUAGACUUGAUAAUCAUAUUCACUGAUGACGUCAAAAGGGUUUCUAUGACACAACAGCCGCAAGCUAAAUACCGU